rnacentral:misc_RNA from 1 species
GAUGAAGAACGUAGUGAAAUGCGAUAAGUAAUGUGAAUUGCAGAAUUCAGUGAAUCAUCGAAUCUUUGAACGCACAUUGCGCCCGCCAGUAUUCUGGCGGGCAUGCCUGUUCGAGCGUCAUUACAACCCUCAGGCCCCCGGGCCUGGCGUUGGGGAUCGGCGGAAGCCCCCUGCGGGCACAACGCCGUCCCCCAAAUACAGUGGCGGUCCCGCCGCAGCUUCCAUUGCGUAGUAGCUAACACCUCGCAACUGGAGAGCGGCGCGGCCACGCCGUAAAACACCCAUCUUCUGAAUGUUGACCUCGAAUCAGGUAGGAAUACCCGCUGAACUUAAGCAUAUCAAUAAGCGGAGGA